UACGUAGGUGACAAGCGUUGUCCGGAUUUACUGGGCGUAAAGAGCGCGCAGGCGGUCGAUCAAGUCGAGUGUGAAAGCCCCCGGCUCAACUGGGGAGGGUCAUUCGAUACUGAUCGACUCGAAGGCAGGAGAGGGUAGUGGAAUUCCCGGUGUAGUGGUGAAAUGCGUAGAUAUCUGGAGGAACACCGGUGGCGAAGGCGGCAUCCUGGACCGGCAUUGACGCUGAGGCGCGAAAGCGUGGGGAGCGAACAGG
rnacentral:rRNA from 1 species